ACCAGGUCUUGACAUCCCUUGACAACUCCAGAGAUGGAGCGUUCCCUUCGGGGACAAGGUGACAGGUGGUGCAUGGUUGUCGUCAGCUCGUGUCGUGAGAUGUUGGGUUAAGUCCCGCAACGAGCGCAACCCUUAUUACUAGUUGCCAGCAUUCAGUUGGGCACUCUAGUGAGACUGCCGGUGACAAACCGGAGGAAGGA
rnacentral:rRNA from 1 species